rnacentral:rRNA from 1 species
AACGAACGCUGGCGGCAGGCUUAACACAUGCAAGUCGAACGCCCCGCAAGGGGAGUGGCAGACGGGUGAGUAACGCGUGGGAAUCUACCGUACCCUACGGAAUAACGCAUGGAAACGUGUGCUAAUACCGUAUACGCCCUUCGGGGGAAAGAUUUAUCGGGGUAUGAUGAGCCCGCGUUGGAUUAGCUAGUUGGUGGGGUAAAGGCCUACCAAGGCGACGAUCCAUAGCUGGUCUGAGAGGAUGAUCAGCCACAUUGGGACUGAGACACGGCCCAAACUCCUACGGGAGGCAGCAGUGGGGAAUAUUGGACAAUGGGCGCAAGCCUGAUCCAGCCAUGCCGCGUGAGUGAUGAAGGUCUUAGGAUUGUAAAGCUCUUUCACCGAUGAAGAUAAUGACGGUAGUCGGAGAAGAAGCCCCGGCUAACUUCGUGCCAGCAGCCGCGGUAAUACGAAGGGGGCUAGCGUUGUUCGGAAUUACUGGGCGUAAAGCGCACGUAGGCGGAUAUUUAAGUCAGGGGUGAAAUCCCGCAGCUCAACUGCGGAACUGCCUUUGAUACUGGGUAUCUCGAGUAUGGAAGAGGUGAGUGGAAUUCCGAGUGUAGAGGUGAAAUUCGUAGAUAUUCGGAGGAACACCAGUGGCGAAGGCGGCUCACUGGUCCAUUACUGACGCUGAGGUGCGAAAGCGUGGGGAGCAAACA